CAGCUUUGUUCUUUUUGCUGAGGAUUGCUUGGCUAUUAGGGCUCUUUUUUUUUUUGGUUCCAUAUGAAUUUUGAAAUAGUUUGCUCUAGUUCUGUGAGGAAUGCCAUUGGUAAUUUAAUAGGGAUAACUUGCAUCUGUAAAUUACUUUGGGCAGUAUAGCCAUUUUAAUGAUGUUAAUUCUUCCUAUCCAUGAGCAUGAAAUGUUUUUCCAUUUGUUUGUGUCUUCUCUGAUUUCUUUGAGCAGUGUUUUGUAAUUCUCCUAGAGAUCUCUUAGAGAUCUUUCACCUCCCUGGUUAGCUGUAUUCCUAGGUAUUUUAUUUUUUCUGUGUGUAGCAAUUAUGAAUGGGAUUAUGUUCUUCAUUUGACUCUCUGCUUUACUGCUAGGAAUUUUUGCACAUUGAUUUUGUAUGCUAAGACUUUGCUAAAGUUUAUCAGCAGAAGGAGCUUUGGGGCUAAGACUAUGGGGUUUUCUAGAUAUAGAAUCAUGUCAUCUGUAAACAGAGACAGUUUGACUUCCUGUCUAUUCCUCUCUUCCCUCCUCUAUUUGGAUGCCCUUCCAGUUUUGCACAUUCAGUGUAAUGUUGGCUGUGGGUUUGCCAUGGCUAGCUCUCAUCAUUUUGGCACUUCCGACUAGAAGUGCGAGAGGGGCCAGUGUUGUUGUUACCUGAAAGGUAAGUGCAGCCCACAAAAAUGCAGUGAAGAAGAAGAUAUAUGCAUAUGUUUAAGUUAAUACAAUUGAGAUACAUUUAGCAGACAGAAUCAAUAGAGUUGAUGAGUGACUGACUGGAUGUGUGGGGAGUUUAUAUCACUCCCAGGUUUUUGACUUGGGCAACCGGGCACUCAAGAAGGAAAAAGAGGAUCCAGGGAGAGGAACUUUUCUGAGGACUGGGGUAGGGCUGAACAGCUGCAUUCGAGACUGGUGGAGGGUGGGCUGGGCAUGGGAUGCACAAAUGGAAAUUCCACUGGGUCUGCAGCUCACACAUAGGCAUGACCAGCAUAGAGAUAGAGAGGCCCCAGUGCUGCUGAGUAACUGUGAUUCCCCAGGUGAUGGCAUCAGCUGAGAAGGGAAGGAAGCCCAUGUGAGGACACUGAAGAAGGAGUGAGCAGACAAUAAGAAGCCCACAGAAGACAGAGAAGGAACAACUAGAGGGAGAAGCCAAGGCAGUUUCUCCACAGACACUACCCAAAGCAGUCCUUCACUACAGUGGCAGACAGACCUGAAAAUUUUCAUCUGAAGCAGCAGAGUGAACUGCAGAGUCAGAGAUAGAAUCUCACUAUGUUGACCAGGCUGGUCUUGAACUCUUGGCACCCAAGCGAUCCUUUUGCCUGGAAUCCCAAAGUGUCAGAUUUACUGAAGAAUAUUUCAUUGUAAUUACUUUUUAUACUUUAUAGGUCAAGAGCUCUGUUUUAAAGACAAAAUUUAUUGAAUAUACUUUUUCAAACAAAGUUUCAUGUUCUAAUCAUUGUCUGAUUUCAGCAUUAAAUGAAACAC
rnacentral:lncRNA from 10 species